ACCCAUUUGAUCCUAUCUCAUCUUUGUCUUUUGUCUUCCCCUGCAUCACUCCCACUUUAUUUCUCAAAUCCUUCAUCAAAAUCCACUCCACGGUCACACAAACACAUAUGAAAACCACCUCGCCCAUCAAAAUCCACAUACAAACACUUUGAUUGUUAUUAAUUCGAUUUAAUUAAAAGUCAAAUCUUUUUUUGUAGACACCCAGAGAAACAAAAAUCCCUCAAACGAGAGAUGUUUAUAAGUAUGCCCCAUGAUAAUGGGAGGAUUGCUUGGCUGAAACAUAAUAUUACCAAACAGAAAAAGAAUCAUCUUAUCGCCCCCGCUGCAGAAGAAGAAGAAGAAAAGAAGGAAAUUUGCAGUACGAGCCCAAGGACGAAGAGAAGAGAAGCAUUCUUUAAUUUUAGUUGAUUAGAAACAUUCUAUUACUAAUUGUUAUCUGUUGCAAGCUAAUUUAGUUAAUUAGUUUUAUCAAUCGUAUCCGUAUAUCAAGACUAAGUUUGGGCAGACGUUUCAUCUUCUAGUUAAUUUGUUAUGGCACUUUUUUUACUCAUGUAUUGUCCUUGUUAUGACACUUUUUUUACUCAUGUGGCUCAACAGUGUUGUGGGAGUCCAUCGUUUUAGGCUCCAAAAAUACAGGCCUAUAUAUUUUGUAUACUA